ensembl:lincRNA
CGCGAUUUUAUUGGCUGCAGACACACCCAGCAUCUUCUUGCGCUCCUCCUUGAGGUGGAUGGACAGCUAGCUGCAGAUGGCACAGAAUGGUGAGCAUCUUUUUGCACGCCGCAUUGCCCGCUGGCUCCAAGAUCUCGGCUGCCAGAUGCAGCAACAAAGCUUCUUUGUACAGACAACCCUGGACACACUUCUAGCAGCAAUUCUUCUUGCAGGAACUGGUGCAAGAACAGGAUUUAUCCGUGGCACAGGAGCAGUUGGUGUCCACUGGGAGUGGAGGCAGAAGAGAGACCAGAGCGGUGACUUCAACAGAAGUGGAGUAAAUAAAGAUGAUUGCAGAACUUGGAAGCUGACGAAAUUAAUUUUGGAAAAGAGCUGGCUUGGAGCAUGACAGAAGAAUGCGUUGGAAAGAAUGCUGGGAGCCCAACUCAAGACUGAUGUGUGCUUGGCAGGCAGUCUACCCCCGAUCUCAGUCCUCAGCCUUUCGGCCUUUUUUCUUUCCUUUUUGGAGACAGAAUUGCAUCAUAUGGCAUCCUACACAGUCCUGCCUCAGUCUCUGGAGUGCUGGGAUUGUAGGCCUAUGCCACCUAGCCUUUCUACAAUACAAACAAAUAUGAAAAGAAGAGGGGCUUCUUUGGAAAGGAGUACAGGGACUAUGGAAGAGAUGAAAAGAUAAUAUUGUCAGAAAUUAUGCCGCUUUUGAAGAGAUAAACUGAACUCUUUUGAUUCUGUGAGGUUAUUAAAGAAUAUAAUUUUCAAAUCACGAUAAAAUCUUGAUUCUACAACACAUGAGGAUAAUCAUUGUUUCCAUGGAAACCUUGGGAGACAGUUGAAAGUCUGGUCCCUGUUGCCUGGAGUAUUAACACAAUGUGGCUGCAAAGUUAGUCUUUUCCUGCUACCAUCUCCUGAAUACUGGGAGUAACUACACGUAUGCACGAACCUGCCCAUCUUUGCCUCUGUUAACAGCUGCCACUGUCUCUUCACGACAUGAUGGCUGACCUAGGUUGGAAGGAACAGAGCCAGUUGGCCAUGGACUGAAACUUUUGGAACUGAUUCUGAGGAGUUAAUGUUUCCAUGAAUAUCUCAAAAGGAGAUGUGGGCAAACGAACAGUUAUCUCACUCCUGUAGGUUGGACUACAGUGAUCACUGAGUAGGAGCUUCGUCUUUAAAAUCUGGGGUGUGCUGUUAUGCAAUCUUCUUUCCCUGCCCAGUACUGGAUCUGUGCAAAGCUGAAUCAUGAAUCAGUGAGUGUGCGGAUUGGAACCCAAGUUGCUCUCUGGAUAGAACGAAAGGAGUGGUGCCCCAAGAAGAUGGAGAGGGAAGUUAUGAAGUGCUGUGACCAAAUAACAAAUGCUGAUGUUUGGGGAGAUAAUUGUUUCCGAUAGGAAAUGGAGUGAAUGCGAUGUCUUUCUUUUGUGAGGGAUUCAUAGACCGCUUCUCAACACUUGUUACAUGUUACUCCUUUUUUCGAGAUUUCUAUUUACAUAAUUGGGAAAGAAACCAAAACAAGGUUUUGAUUGAAUUCUGAUACAGGUAUUUAAAGACUUAAGGACAAGAUAUAGAAGAAGUGGUAAUUAACUGAUUAAAGAAGUACAGUUUAUGUCCAGUAGGCAGACAGGCUCCAGACAUCCUUAGUGCUGUCUUAACAUCAAAGGUUAAUCUACCUAAUACUUGUCAUCCUGAAAUGCAUGGUGGAACACCCAACAGACAAGAGCUACUUCAGGGAAGGACUAUGAUUUUUGUCAUGGAAGACAUUUAACACAGGGCAGCUCUUAUGCACUUACAUUAUAGAUAUUGCUCUUCCGGUGACUCUCAAUGCUCUUCCCACUUUCAGCUCACUGGGCACAUUGAACUAAAAAUUUUAUCAUCUCGUGAAUUAGUCCAAUACCUGAAGGAGCAAAAGAACCAACACCCAGUUGACAAGAAUAUGACGUGUUGAUUGAAGACCAUUAAGAAAGUAACUUAAUUCAAUUGGACUGGACUUUUUUAUUCUAUUGAAAAAGGAAUUUAUUUUCCCUCAGUGAAAGUAACAUGAUCAACAUUUUGAAAGUUGUGAACAGGCAUAGUUCUAUAACCCACAAAAUAAUUAUAAAAAUUUGAGUAUGGAUGCAGCAUAAUUUCAGAACAGAAUAGCCAUCAUACUUUUUAUAUAUCUUAAAUUCGAGUUUUCAAAAGUAUAUUUCUAUGUUAUAUCCUUUGAUUAGUACAAUAUAAAAUCUACAUCUAAUAUGUACUUCAGGUUUUAUUAGAUCAUACCAUAUUACUGUACAAUUUGGACUUUCCCAAUUUUUUUAUAUAAAAUGUAACAUACAUUGUACAUUAAUAUUUAUAUAUCUUGUUUCUUUAGAAUUAAUUUCUGCCAAUUAUUUUCUUUAUUUGAAUACUUGGGGUAUCAUAAAGGUGCUGUUGAGGUAUUCUCAAUAUGCUUGUACAACUUCCUGCCUGUAGUUAAUAAAUGUGGAUAUUUCAUUAAACAAUUGAAAUAUAACAUUUUCUCUUUGUAA